AGUGGCGCACGGGUGAGUAACGCGUGGAUAACCUGCCCUGGUAUCCGGAAUAACAUCUCGAAAGGGGKGCUAAUACCGGAUAAGCCUACGGGGUCUUCGGACUCUGCAGGAAAAGGUGGCCUCUAUUUAUAAGCUACCGUAUCAGGAUGGGUCCGCGUACCAUUAGCUAGUUGGUGGGGUAAUGGCCUACCAAGGCGACGAUGGUUAGCUGGUCUGAGAGGAUGAUCAGCCACACUGGAACUGAGACACGGUCCAGACUCCUACGGGAGGCAGCAGUGGGGAAUUUUGCGCAAUGGGGGAAACCCUGACGCAGCAACGCCGCGUGAGUGAUGAAGGCUUUCGGGUCGUAAAGCUCUGUCAGUAGGGAAGAAAUGGAAACGGUUAAUACCCGUUUUUCUUG
rnacentral:rRNA from 1 species